UAUAGAUCAAUCAUCUUCAAUUUAUGGGGCCCGUAUAGUUUGGGUCUAAACAUUAUCAUAGACCCAUAUGUAAAUAUAAAUGAAAUCCUGAAUCGAAUUUUUAUAAGAUAUCAAAUAGAUACGCCUUCGAGUUAGAAGUUCCUAAGUUAUAACAAACAAACAAAAAAACUAUCUAUUUGAUCUCUGAAUGUCGCCAUGCUCUAAAUGCACAGAAAUACUACAUACUAAUUUCUAAUCACAUAGAAUCAAGCUAGAUUAUCAGUUUUUAAUAUUCACAUUCAGAUGAUUAUCCAUAUUACAUGCUGCGUGUUUUAGCUGAAAAUUUUACAUCAAAAAAGUUAUUGCAUUAUUACAGAAAACAAUGGAAAGUGGCUAAUUCGGAAAAUUACAAAGAACAAAUUGCGACAUGGGCAAACAUGAUCAAAGUACACACAUAUACAUAAAGAAAGAAAGAAAAAGAUUACAAGAAAAAAAAAAUGAACAAUAUUCUGAAGAUUAAAAUAUAUUUGGAAAAAAAGAGAGAGGAAAAUGCCAAAAUCAAAUUUACGAGAGCAAAUAUAAGAACAAAACUGAAAAGGACAAAAAAAUGCCUCAGGUUUCAGUGCAAAACACAGAUAUAGCAACGAGAGGGCCCAUCCACAUAAUUGAGCGACUUACCAUUAUUAAAAUAUUUUACAUAUACUUAAGGAAAUAAAUACAAAUCUCAUCGAGUUCUUUUAUAAUAAUUAUUAAACUUGAAUUUGAUAUGCCGGUUACUUAUUCUCACUAUUAUAUACAUAAAUAUUAUUUAAAUAUUUAUUAAUUAAUAUUUUAAAUAUUUAUCUUUUUAAAAUAUUUUUAUAAAUAAAAUAAUUAAAUAGUUU
rnacentral:lncRNA from 1 species